rnacentral:rRNA from 1 species
AGCGAACGCUGGCGGCAGGCCUAACACAUGUAAGUCGAACGAACCUUUCGGGGUUAGUUGCUGAUGGGUGAGUAACACGUGGGAACGUGCCGUUAUGUUCGGAAUAACUCAGGGACAUUUGUGCUAAUACCGAAUGUGCUCUUCGGGGGCAAGAUUCAUCGCAUUUAGAUCGGCCGGCGUCCGAUUAGCCAGUUGGUUGUGGUAAUGGCGCACCAGAGUGACCAUCAGUAGCUGGUCUGUGAGAAUGAGCAGCCACAUUGGGACUUGGACGCGGCCCAGACUAUUGCAGGAGGGAGGAGUGGCGAAUCUUGCGCAAUGGCGUAAAGCCUGACGGAGCCAUGCCGGGUGAAUGAUGAAGGUCUGAGGAUAAAAAAACUCUUUCACAGGGGGCGAUAAUGACGGUACCCAAAGAAGAAGCCCCGGCUAACUUCGUG